rnacentral:miRNA from 1 species
UGAAGAUUUGAAGAAUUUGGGA